rnacentral:lncRNA from 1 species
AUGUCUAAGUCAUAGAGUCUGUAUUAAGGUUUGAAAAAUGUAAUUUUUGUUUAUUGGAUCGAUCAUGCAGGAGAUUGUCGUUUGGUGAUUGCGAUGAUCUUCUUUUUAUUGCUUCUGAGUUGUGUACGAGCUUUAUAAUGUUCUUUUGUCACGAAAUCGCUAAAGGGGGAGAUUGUUAAGGAUUUUAUAGGUUGGCGGAUUUCGUAAAGUUGAAUGGAGUCUUGAAGGGUUGAUCGCGGAAGUUUUUGAAGAAAAGAUUCAAAUUGAAGAACAAAAAUUCAUUCGUAAAGUUCGGCACCUAAGGUAUGAAGAAAAGAUCAUUUGUAGUGAAGAUACUUAAUUAGAAUAUGUUCAGAAGA